rnacentral:rRNA from 1 species
AGAGUUUGAUCAUGGCUCAGAUUGAACGCUGGCGGCAGGCCUAACACAUGCAAGUCGAACGGUAACAGGAAACAGCUUGCUGUUUCGCUGACGAGUGGCGGACGGGUGAGUAAUGUCUGGGAAACUGCCUGAUGGAGGAGGAUAACUACUGGAAACGGUAGCUAAUACCGCAUAACGUCGCAAGACCAAAGAGGGGGACCCUCGGGCCUCUUGCCAUCGGAUGUGCCCAGAUGGGAUUAGCUUGUUGGUGGGGUAACGGCUCACCAAGGCGACGAUCCCUAGCUGGUCUGAGAGGAUGACCAGCCACACUGGAACUGAGACACGGUCCAGACUCCUACGGGAGGCAGCAGUGGGGAAUAUUGCACAAUGGGCGCAAGCCUGAUGCAGCCAUGCCGCGUGUAUGAAGAAGGCCUUCGGGUUGUAAGUACUUUCAGCGGGGAGGAAGGGAGUAAAGUUAAUACCUUUGCUCAUUGACGUUACCCGCAGAAGAAGCACCGGCUAACUCCGUGCCAGCAGCCGCGGUAAUACGGAGGGUGCAAGCGUUAAUCGGAAUUACUGGGCGUAAAGCGCACGCAGGCGGUUUGUUAAGUCAGAUGUGAAAUCCCCGGGCUCAACCUGGGAACUGCAUCUGAUACUGGCAAGCUUGAGUCUCGUAGAGGGGGGUAGAAUUCCAGGUGUAGCGGUGAAAUGCGUAGAGAUCUGGAGGAAUACCGGUGGCGAAGGCGGCCCCCUGGACGAAGACUGACGCUCAGGUGCGAAAGCGUGGGGAGCAAACAGGAUUAGAUACCCUGGUAGUCCACGCCGUAAACGAUGUCGACUUGGAGGUUGUGCCCUUGAGGCGUGGCUUCCGGAGCUAACGCGUUAAGUCGACCGCCUGGGGAGUACGGCCGCAAGGUUAAAACUCAAAUGAAUUGACGGGGGCCCGCACAAGCGGUGGAGCAUGUGGUUUAAUUCGAUGCAACGCGAAGAACCUUACCUGGUCUUGACAUCCACGGAAGUUUUCAGAGAUGAGAAUGUGCCUUCGGGAACCGUGAGACAGGUGCUGCAUGGCUGUCGUCAGCUCGUGUUGUGAAAUGUUGGGUUAAGUCCCGCAACGAGCGCAACCCUUAUCCUUUGUUGCCAGCGGUCCGGCCGGGAACUUAAAGGAGACUGCCAGUGAUAAACUGGAGGAAGGUGGGGAUGACGUCAAGUCAUCAUGGCCCUUACGACCAGGGCUACACACGUGCUACAAUGGCGCAUACAAAGAGAAGCGACCUCGCGAGAGCAAGCGGACCUCAUAAAGUGCGUCGUAGUCCGGAUUGGAGUCUGCAACUCGACUCCAUGAAGACGGAAUCGCUAGUAAUCGUGGAUCAGAAUGCCACGGUGAAUACGUUCCCGGGCCUUGUACACACCGCCCGUCACACCAUGGGAGUGGGUUGCAAAAGAAGUAGGUAGCUUAACCUUCGGGAGGGCGCUUACCACUUUGUGAUUCAUGACUGGGGUGAAGUCGUAACAAGGUA